GAAAUCAUAAUAUUAUAUAUAUAUUUGAGGAAUUCAUCUAAAUAAAAUACAUAGUUAAUUUAAUGUUAAAUUAUUUAAUAUAUUAAAUCUUGAAGAAUUAGUUAUUGACAUGUGCUGAAAAUGGCUUGGUUGGCUGGAUCGUCCAAAACAUUAUUAGCUGACAGCAGAUAAUUCGUAAUUAUCUAGGAGGGGUAUUUAUGGGAUUAAACAUUCAACAAAGGGCAGUUCCGGUAACCUACUUGAGAAUAAAAUCCCUGCCUG
rnacentral:lncRNA from 1 species